GUAGUUAGCCGGGGCUUCCUCCUUGGCUACCGUCACUUUCUUCGUCACCAAGGACAGAGGUUUACAACCCGAAAGCCUUCUUCCCUCACGCGGCGUUGCUGGGUCAGGCUUGCGCCCAUUGCCCAAUAUUCCCCACUGCUGCCUCCCGUAGGAGUCUGGGCCGUAUCUCAGUCCCAAUGUGGCCGUUCAACCUCUCAGUCCGGCUACUGAUCGUCGUCUUGGUGGGCCGUUACCCCGCCAACUAUCUAAUGGGACGCGAGCCCCUCCUUCAGCGAAUUGCUCCUUUGACCCCUCUACCAUGCGGUAGCGUGGUCUCAUGCGGUAUUAGCAGUAAUUUCUCACUGUUAUCCCCCUCUGAAGGACAGGUUGCUCACGCGUUACUCACCCGUUCGCCACUAACUCAAGGAGCAAGCUCCUCUCGUCCGUUCGACUUGCAUGUGUAGCACGCCGCCACGCGUCGUCUCGAGCACGAUACAACUACUGA
rnacentral:rRNA from 1 species